ensembl:misc_RNA 7SK 7SK RNA
GGAUAUGAGGGUGAUUGAUCAGCACGAUUUCUUUGGCUGACCUGGUUGGUAGGCAAGUGUCUCCUUCCUCCCUCACCACUCCAUGUGCAUCCUUCCUGAAGCUGCAAAGCUGACUGUGCGCUCAGUGGAAUGGAUGACCACUUCCACUAGAAGAGCACCAUUCCUGGGGAAAAGAUAUAGAGUAUUUGGAAUCUCCUCCUAGAACUUCCAAACAAGACAUCAAGAAAGUUGUAAUUACAGACAAAUAAAUAAAUAUAGAUAAGAUGGCGUAGCUGAAAGUUCUCAAGGUUUUGCCCAUAUU